rnacentral:rRNA from 1 species
GAUGAACGCUGGCGGCGUGCCUAAUACAUGCAAGUCGAGCGAACAGACGAGGAGCUUGCUCCUCUGACGUUAGCGGCGGACGGGUGAGUAACACGUGGAUAACCUACCUAUAAGACUGGGAUAACUUCGGGAAACCGGAGCUAAUACCGGAUAAUAUAUUGAACCGCAUGGUUCAAUAGUGAAAGACGGUUUUGCUGUCACUUAUAGAUGGAUCCGCGCCGCAUUAGCUAGUUGGUAAGGUAACGGCUUACCAAGGCAACGAUGCGUAGCCGACCUGAGAGGGGGGAGGGCCCACGGGAACGUGAGACACGUCACAGGCACCGAGGGGAGGCCGAGGGGGGGAAUGUACGGAACAGGGGGAAAGCCUGAAGGAGAAACGCCGGGGGGGUGAAGAAGGGCUUCGGGCCGUAAAACUCUGUUAUUAGGGAAAAACAAAUGUGUAAGUAACUAUGCCCGUUUGAAGGGAACCGAAUAAGAAGGCCACGGCUAACACGGU